CCAGAAGAUCCAAUAUUGGUGGAAGCCCAUUUCUCCCAAGAUUUUUGCACAAAUGCCCAAUCCAUUGCACACCUAACCUAACCAGCAAUACAACAACAGUUUAAGCUAGAUAACACAGCUCAACUACUUCAACUGAUGCUUCACCCCUAAAGCAUACUUCUUUCUUACUUUUUUUUGGAUAAUAAUAAUUUCAAGAGCUGAUAAAACAAUUCCCAGAAAAGGAAAUCUGAAAUGAAGAA